rnacentral:rRNA from 1 species
UACGUAGGGUGCAAGCGUUGUCCGGAAUCAUUGGGCGUAAAGCGCGCGUAGGCGGCCCGAUAAGUCCGCUGUAAAAGUCAACGGCUCAACUGUUGAAAGCCGGUGGAUACUGUCGGGCUAGAGUACGGAAGAGGCAAGUGGAAUUCCUGGUGUAGCGGUGGAAUGCGCAGAUAUCAGGAGGAACACCUAUAGCGAAGGCAGCUUGCUGGGACGUUACUGACGCUGAGGCGCGAAAGCUAGGGGAGCAAACGGG